UGGGGAAUAUUGCACAAUGGGCGAAAGCCUGAUGCAGCAACGCCGCGUGAGGGACGACGGCCUUCGGGUUGUAAACCUCUUUUAGCAAGGAAGAAGCGAAAGUGACGGUACUUGCAGAAAAAGCGCCGGCUAACUACGUGCCAGCAGCCGCGGUAAUACGUAGGGCGCAAGCGUUAUCCGGAAUUAUUGGGCGUAAAGAGCUCGUAGGCGGUUUGUCGCGUCUGCUGUGAAAACCCGAGGCUCAACCUCGGGCCUGCAGUGGGUACGGGCAGACUAGAGUGCGGUAGGGGAGAUUGGAACUCCUGGUGUAGCGGUGGAAUGCGCAGAUAUCAGGAAGAACACCGAUGGCGAAGGCAGAUCUCUGGGCCGUAACUGACGCUGAGGAGCGAAAGGGUGGGGAGCAAACAGGCUUAGAUACCCUGGUAGUCCACCCCGUAAACGUUGGGAACUAGUUGUGGGGUCCAUUCCACGGAUUCCGUGACGCAGCUAACGCAUUAAGUUCCCCGCCUGGGGGAGUACGGCCGCAAGGCUAAAACU
rnacentral:rRNA from 1 species